ACCUCUAGGAGUUUAGGGCCGGGCCAUCCCAACGGGCUGCCCCUCCCAAAACUCACUGUUUGGACAGGUGUUGGGCGUCGCUAGGCGCCGACGAAGAACUUCUUUCCAGUCCAUGGCCGACUUCCGCGCAGCAGCUUCUGCAUUUGCUGUUUCCUACCUGCUCCACCCCUACCAGCUCAGGCGUCAGCACCGCCAGGCCCCGUAAAGGUUCAUGAACUGGAAUGUAAGAGGCACCAGAGGAUUCCUGCUCUGUCCCCUGGUUUGCGGCUUGCGACGUUGGACAUCCCCGGAUUGUUGUUUAAUAGAGAAAACUCACCUGCCUUCUUGCUUUUAAGUAGCCCCAAAAGCAGAACCUUGAUUUGUCUGUAAGGAAGAAACACAAACCUUUUAAAAAGUUCCACUUCGACUCUGCACCGCCGACCCCCAAUCUCUUUAAUUUUGCCAUAGAAGAGGGGUUUUUUCAACAUCUCUCUCACUAUCUGGUGCUGAUCUCACUGCAUAAUGACUUUCUAUUUGUUUGGUAUUCGAAGCUUUCCGAAGCUUUGGAAGAGCCCAUACCUUGGGCUAGGCCCAGGGCACUCUUAUGUCUCGCUGUUUCUGGCA
rnacentral:lncRNA from 1 species